UCAGACUCGCAGUAACAACAUGGAGUUUCACUUUCAUUGUAACACCCGGAAACAUUGCUUUUAACGAUAUCUAGCGGAUUAUGUUUGUAUACACCAUCCUAUUUAACCAGGUCAUUCGUCGUUGAUGUUUUGUGAUUUAUGAUGGUUUGAUGGGAUCAGUGAUGUAAUUUUACCGCAUGCGUGUCAUCAACAAUCCCAUUGUAAACAUCGCGGCGAAAGAAAGAUGUGUGCCAAAGCUAUGACAGGCGCAAGCUAUCGUCAAAGAACGGUUCCAGAAUCUACUACAAAACGCAGGAAAAAGCAAUGGGCGUUGGACAACCCUUUAAAAAGACUUAAGAAGCAGCAUUGUAGGUGGACAGCUGCUCAACAUACGACCACACAGCGCAGAUUCUUCUCGAUAAGUGGUGUGUUUCAGUGACACAAGAAAUACAUGGUGUAGCCACUGACACACCUGGCACUUUAAUGGGGGUACAUGGCACUUCAAUGGAGACACCUAUACGUAGCACUUCUCGGUCUAGGAAGGCAUCACGCACAUAUACAGGGGCAUCGGUACUGAUAACAUCCACACCUACCCAUAAAGAACCUAGCCUAUCUGUAGAUACACUAAUGCCCAACGUCUCAGAUAUAGAAGCUCAGACAUCUCACUCAUCUGAUAUAUCUGGUGUGGGGAAAAUGCACUCAGACUAGGAAGUUUAUAAUGGUAAUAUUCAAUUGAGUAGCUAUUAAAGCAAAUCUAUACUAAAAAUAUUGAUGUACAGGACUGCAUUUUACACCAAAAUACCAUACAUGAAGCUUGCAAGAGGGACAACUUUACAAUGAGGAGAGAUGACAGACAAUAUUGAAUAACACUUCCCUCGCUACUCAUUUAUAAUUAUAACACAUGAACAAAUGGUUGUUUGAAUGAAAUAAUGAAUGUGUGAUUAAACUUCAGGAUGAGAUCGAUGAAUAUACCAUGUAAAAAACAAAAUAUGAAUGAAUGAAUGAACUAAUGAUUGUCUGAGACUCGGAGUGUGGUGUACGAGAGCCCUCCUGCGAGAGGACAUUUAUUGUAACGAAGCUAAUACCAGGACCAAAACCCUGGCAGCUUUAAAUUGCAAGUUUAAAU